CACUGUGUGAAAACACCUAGACCAUCUCAAGUUUAUACGCAGGGGAAAGCAAGUUCAGAGAAUUUUUGAGAGGUUGCAGUUGUGAGAGGAAACCCACGGCAGGAAGCAGGCAACUCUGCUUGGCAUGGCUCCUGGUGCAGAGCAUCUCUUCAGAGAUUCGAUGGUGAGCCGGAGUGAAGGUCAGCUGCAGGAGGGCCUCGGAGGAUGGCAGGAGUCACUUCACUUUGGUUCCCAGGGAGGCCACAAAGGGAGUCCAGCAGCAUCCACAGAGACAAUAAGAUGAGAGAAUUUAAGCAUCGAAGCCCAGAGCAGCCCAGCACCUGCAAGGAGGCAAUGUGACUGGACAGCUGUUGGCACAGAAAAUUACCAGGAAG
rnacentral:lncRNA from 1 species